UACCAGCACCCCGAGUGGUCGGGACGAUUAUUGGGCCUAAAGCAUCCGUAGCCGGCCUUACAAGUCCUCCGUUAAAUCCAGCUGCUUAACAGAUGGGCUGCGGAGGAUACUAUAAGACUAGGAGGCAGGAGAGGCAAGCGGUAGACUCAGUGGGUAGGGGUAAAAUCCGUUGAUCCAUUGAAGACCACCAGUGGCGAAGGCGGCUUGCCAGAAUGCGCU
rnacentral:rRNA from 1 species